rnacentral:ncRNA from 1 species
AUGAAAGCUGUGACGGGGAGAAGUAAAUAAUGAUACUUUUUCAGAGAGGAUCACAUAAGCUGAGAGUGGUCUAAAGUUAUGGUUAUUGAAAUGCACCCCGGAGUCCUUUGUUGAAACAAUCAUUGGAGUAGGUAAAGGCGGCAUCCUACCGUUAUUAGGACAGAGUUGGGACCAUAAACCUUCAUUUGCUGUUUCUAUAAAAUUGGUCCAAACAGAGUGGAACCGCGCAAAAUUAGCGUCUCUGUC